UACGUAGGCAGCGAGCGUUGUUCGGAGUUACUGGGCGUAAAGGGUGUGUAGGCGGUUUUCUAAGUUUGGUGUGAAAUCUCCCGGGUUAACUGGGAGGGUGCGCUAUAGACUGUGGGACUAGAGUGUGGGAGAGGAAAGUGGAAUUCCUGGUGUAGCGGUGAAAUGCGUAGAUAUCAGGAGGAACACCGGUGGUGUAAACGGCUUUCUGGACCAUAACUGACGCUGAGGCACGAAAGCGUGGGUAGCAGACAGG
rnacentral:rRNA from 1 species